GAUAAACGCUAGCGGCAGGCUUAACACAUGCAAGUCGAGGGGCAGCAUAGAUUGUAGCAAUACAAUUGGUGGCGACCGGCGCACGGGUGCGUAACGCGUAUGCAACCUACCCGUCACAGGGGGAUAAUCCGGAGAAAUCUGGUCUAAUACCCCAUAACAUAUGGAUCGGCAUCGGUUCAUGUUGAAAUUUUCGGAGGUGACGGAUGGGCAUGCGUAGCAUUAGCUUGUUGGUGAGGUAACGGCUAACCAAGGCGACGAUGCUUAGGUGGACUGAUACGUUUUCCCCCCACACUGGUACUGAGACACGGACCAGACUCCUACGGGAGGCAGCAGUGAGGAAUAUUGGUCAAUGGGCGCAAGCCUGAACCAGCCAUGCCGCGUGCAGGAUGACGGCUCUAUGAGUUGUAAACUGCUUUUGUACGAGGGUAAAGUGGGUUACGUGUAACCUUUUGAAAGUAUCGUACGAAUAAGGAUCGGCUAACUCCGUGCCAGCCGCCGCCGUAA
rnacentral:rRNA from 1 species